rnacentral:rRNA from 1 species
UACGGAGGAUGCAAGCGUUAUCCGGAAUGAUUGGGCGUAAAGCGUCCGCAGGUGGCUAUGUAAGUCUGCUGUUAAAGAGUGAGGCUCAACCUCAUAAAAGCAGUGGAAACUACAUGGCUAGAGUGCGUUCGGGGCAGAGGGAAUUCCUGGUGUAGCGGUGAAAUGCGUAGAGAUCGGGUGGAACACCAGAGGCGAAGGCGGCUAGCUGGACAGUUACUGACACUCAACUCCGAAAGCGUGGGGAGCAAACAGG